rnacentral:rRNA from 1 species
GAUGAACGCUGGCGGCGUGCCUAAUACAUGCAAGUCGAGCGAACAGACGAUGAGCUUGCGCCUCUGACGUUAGCGGCGGACGGGUGAGUAACACGUGGAUAACCUACCUAUAAGACUGGGAUAACUUCGGGAAACCGGAGCUAAUACCGGAGAAUAUAUUGAACCGCGGGGGUCAAUGGUGAAUGACGGUUUUGCUGUCACUUAUAGAUGGUUCCGCGCCGCAUUAGCUAGUUGGUAAGGUAACGGCUUACCAAGGCAACGAUGCGUAGCCGACCUGGGAGGGUGGUCGGCCACAUUGGAACUUGGACACGGACCAGACUCCUACGGGAGGCACCAGUAGGGAAUCUGCCGCAAUAGGGGAAAGCCUUACGGAGCAACGCCAAGUGAGUGAUGAAGGUCUUCGGAUCGUAAAACUCUGUUAUUAGGGAAAAACAAAUGUGGAAUUAACCAUGCACGUCUUGACGGUACCGAAUCAGAAAGCCCCGGCUAACUACGUG